GACGAACGCUGGCGGCGUGCUUAACACAUGCAAGUCGAACGGUGAAGCGCCUUCCUUUUUGGUGGGUGUGGAUGAGUGGCGAACGGGUGAGUAACACGUGAGUAACCUGCCCCCUUCUUCUGGAUAACCGCAUGAAAGUGUGGCUAAUACGGGAUAUUCUGGGUCUGUCGCAUGAUGGGUCUGGGAAAGAUAUUGUUUCGGUGGGGGAUGGGCUCGCGGCCUAUCAGCUUGUUGGUGGGGUGAUGGCCUACCAAGGCGGUGACGGGUAGCCGGCCUGAGAGGGUGGACGGUCACACUGGGACUGAGACACGGCCCAGACUCCUACGGGAGGCAGCAGUGGGGAAUAGUGCACAAUGGGCGAAAGCCUGAUGCAGCGACGCCGCGUGAGGGAUGGAGGCCUGCGGGUUGUGAACCUCUUUCGCCAGUGAAGCAGGCCUGCCUCGUAUGUGGGUGGGUUGACGGUAGCUGGAGAAGAAGCGCCGGCUAACUACGUG
rnacentral:rRNA from 1 species